rnacentral:rRNA from 1 species
GAUGAACGCUGGCGGCGUGCCUAAUACAUGCAAGUCGAGCGAACAGAUGAGGAGCUUGCUCCUCUGACGUUAGCGGCGGACGGGUGAGUAACACGUGGAUAACCUACCUAUAAGACUGGGAUCACUUCGGGAAACCGGCGCUAAUACCGUAUAAUAUAUUGAACCGCAUGGUUCAAUAGUGAAAGACGGUUUUGCUGUCACUUAUAGAUGGAUCCGCGCCGCAUUAGCUAGUUGGUAAGGUAACGGCUUACCAAGGCAACGAUGCGUAGCCGACCUGAGAGGGUGAUCGGCCACACUGGAGCUGAGACACGGUCCAGACUCCUACGGGAGGCAGCAGUAGGGAAUCUUCCGCAAUGGGCGAAAGCCUGACGGAGCAACGCCGCGUGAGUGAUGAAGGUCUUCGGAUCGUAAAACUCUGUUAUUAGGGAAGAACAAAUGUGUAAGUAACUAUGCACGUCUUGACGGUACCUAAUCAGAAAGCCACGGCUAACUACGUG